rnacentral:tRNA from 1 species
CUAUUUUGGCAGAUAAAUGCUUUAAAUUUAGGAUUUAAUUAUGUAUGCUUUAAGUACAAGUAGGAA